rnacentral:rRNA from 1 species
UACGGAGGGGGCUAGCGUUGUUCGGAAUUACUGGGCGUAAAGCGUGCGUAGUCGGUUAUUUAAGUCGGGUGUGAAAGCCCCGGGCUCAACCUGGGAAUUGCAUUCGAUACUGGAUAGCUAGAGUUCGGCAGAGGGAAGCGGAAUUUCCGGUGUAGCGGUGAAAUGCGUAGAUAUUCGCAAGAACACCAGUGGCGAAGGCGGCAUCCUGGACCGACACUGACACUGAGGAGCGAAAGCCAGGGGAGCAAACGGG